rnacentral:rRNA from 1 species
AACGAACGCUGGCGGCAUGCCUAACACAUGCAAGUCGAACGAGAUCUUCGGAUCUAGUGGCGCACGGGUGCGUAACGCGUGGGAAUCUGCCCUUGGGUACGGAAUAACUCAGAGAAAUUUGUGCUAAUACCGUAUAAUGUCUUCGGACCAAAGAUUUAUCGCCCAAGGAUGAGCCCGCGUAGGAUUAGCUAGUUGGUGAGGUAAAAGCUCACCAAGGCGACGAUCCUUAGCUGGUCUGAGAGGAUGAUCAGCCACACUGGGACUGAGACACGGCCCAGACUCCUACGGGAGGCAGCAGUGGGGAAUAUUGGACAAUGGACGAAAGCCUGAUCCAGCAAUGCCGCGUGAGUGAUGAAGGCCCUAGGGUUGUAAAGCUCUUUUACCCGGGAUGAUAAUGACAGUACCGGGAGAAUAAGCUCCGGCUAACUUCGUG